AGGUUCUCUGAGGUUUUUGUUUCCUGUUGGGAGAAAGGAAGAAGGGAAUGGGGACCAUAGAGGCAGUCCAUAUGGAUAGAUGCCUGGAGUGAUGUUGUGAGCUCAGACCAGUCCUGGUGGGGACAGUUGUAUGGCCUCUGGAAGACUCCUGAAGCAGUCAUCUGUGGAGAUCCGUGAGAGGACAUGGAUCAGGGGCAAGCUGGUCACUCUUCCGUUUCCCUGGCUGUCUCCAUUGGCUCUGGUUCUUCAGUAUGAGGGUGGACACAUGGGCUGAGAUGGGACUCUGUGUAGUGUCUAUACAGAUUGCAGAGCCAACCAGGACUGAUGAUCAAGCAAACACGAUGCCCCUCCCUCUUUCUUCUCACCUGCUGGGGGUUUGGGGUAAUUCAUGAUCAGACUGUUAGGGGAGGCUUGGCAACCCCAAACUAAGUGUCUUCAAGGCAGAGAGCCUCUCGCUAGGCCCUCUGAACACAGGCACACAAGCUUAUGGGUGAAGACGUCUGUUUCUCCUUAAUAAGAACCAUGCUGUGGGUAUUUAGUGUCUACUAGAGGGGCUCAUCUGUGGGCACUUCCUCCCUCUCCACCCUCCGCUUCCAAUUUCCUGUUUUAAGCAGUGGAGGGCCCAGGAGGCUAAGGCUCUGAAAGAAAGGAUGCCAGCAGGCCCCACUGGAAUGAGCCGGCUCUAGAGGCUCCUACCCGCCUCCCUAAUCAGGAUGCUCCUGCAGGAAACAGGCGGGCUUGCUUCCCAGCUGGGCUCAAUGCUGGGGGUAGGGAUGGUGGACAUUCUUGCAUAUGUAGGGAUGGCUGCCUUCUCUGGUUCAUGACUUUCCUCAGCCCUCACCUAGUCAGCCCACUUCCCUGACCAAGUGGGAAUCUGGGACAUCGAAUAGGCAACCCAGCUUGGGCUCCAAUUUGGGCACAGUCAGCUGCCCGAGUGACACACUGAGGAUGAGGGCCUAGUCUCCUUCCCGCAGCCUGCAACUGCAAGGCAGCCUAGUGGACUGCUCACUUCAGUUUCCAAAGGGGGAAUCUGCCUGAGACAGCAAGGAAAAAAGUCCUGCCUGGGACUCUGAGUCCUUUUUUUUUUCUGCCACACCUAAGAGGACCAGCUAGAGACUAGUAUCCCUGUGGGGCCUUUUCAGUCUCCUCCUUCCCCAGGUCAAAGCCACUAAUCCAAUGGGUUCUGGCGGUAAGAGAUUAGUCAACUCCCAGAGGGAGCCCUGAAGGCUGGUUCAGGGCAGAGCUGCCAGACCCCACCCCAAAGCCUUUAGAGAAGGAUUCUGAAACGUCUGUGGAUUGGAGCUGUAGAUGUCACUGACCAGCGUUGACAAACAAUGUCAGGCUUUAACUAUGACAACUCCACUUACCUUGUGCAUUUUUGUAUUUUGGUUCUUCUUCUUCUUUUUUUUUUUUUUUUUAAAGAUUAAGCUUUUCCACUUGAUAUUUCAUUUCUAACCUGGUACAGGAAGUUCCUCUCUACUUACCACAUAUCACAUAUCAGGUUCAGGAAAAAUGCACCGGGAAUCAGAGAAAAUGGGAUUUCUUUUCAAUUGAAAAGACAACGACAGUGCUGUUAUUGACCACCCCCAAUAAAACCUGUUGUAGAAACACAUGCUCUGACUCUGGCCUCGAUACAGACAUGUUUCAUGGGCAGCCAGGUGCUUCUCUGGCCCCUUGAGGAAUCGUCUCCAUUACAGCUUCUCAUUCAGGCUCCUGAGGCCCUUAGAGCACUGCCUGUUCCCCUGCUGCCGCCUCAGCGCCACCAGGCAAACUCGGAGGCAGUCUAUGAAACCCAAGAAGGGCAGUGGCUGGAGCCGGAUUGAACUUUGCUGGAACAUUCCUGUAAGCUCUCAGGAGCGGUGGAGCAUGACAGUUGGCUCGGGAUCCCAGGGGCCAAGUUACAACAUCUGAUACAAAUUAUGAAUGAAAUUGUGAGUCUUUGGUCCUGAGGAUGGGCUUGGGCUAGGCCCAGUGCUGAGGACGGGGUAGAGGGCGCUGUGCUGUGCAGAAACGUCUGUUUACAGCUUGCUGUGCACAGGAGCAGCACACUUAAGUCCUUGGCUCUGAGGAUCUGGGACAUCAGAUCCCGAUAAAAGCCACGUCCUGCUAUCUAGUUUACCCUGGUAGAACCUCAGUUGGCUGGAAGCCAACUGCCUGACAGUCAUGAAACCUCAGGCCAUCCACUGAGCUAGCUGCACAAACUUGUCCCUUCACUGAACCUGGAAGGAUGCGCAGAGAUCAUCCUCAUGGUUUAUGGGAAGGUGUCAACUGUCUUUUGUUGUUGGUGGUGGUUUUUUUUGAGACAGGGUCUAACUAUGUAGCUCUUGCUGUCCUGGAACUUGCUCUGUAGACCAGGAUGGCCUUGAACCCAGAGAUCUACCUGCCUCUGCCUCACGAGUGCCAGGAUUAAAGACAUGCACCACU
rnacentral:lncRNA from 1 species